rnacentral:rRNA from 1 species
UACGUAGGGUGCGAGCGUUAAUCGGAAUUACUGGGCGUAAAGCGUGCGCAGGCGGUUCGUUGUGUCGGCGGUGAAAGCCCCGGGCUUAACCUGGGAACGGCCGUUGCAACUGGCGAACUGGAGUGUGGCAGAGGGGGGUGGAAUUCCGCGUGUAGCAGUGAAAUGCGUAGAGAUGCGGAGGAACACCGAUGGCGAAGGCAGCCCCCUGGGCUAACACUGACGCUCAGGCACGAAAGCGUGGGGAGCGAACAGG